UUGAAAGGGAAACGAUUGAAGUCAGUCGUACCGGCGGAUAAUCAGCCUUUCGGGUGCGAUUCUGUGGGGCGUGAGGAGCUUAACCGCCUUCAUGUUUUGCAUAUUCGUGCACAUUUGGUGUACUUGUCCGUGUGGUGGGUUAACAUCAAUUUCGGUCGUCAUAAAAUGAUUGGAGGAAUGUAGCUUUGAUCUCGUAUCGAAGUGUUAUAGACUCUGGUAGAUGUGAUGAUUGGGAUUGAGGAUUGCAACGGAUACCCCUUCGGGGCUACUCGUCUGAUCUCUGAAGGUUGCUCCGGUGCCGAAAGCGUGCUUACGGUCAUCGAAAGUGAUUUUCAAAAGGUUAGAACGGGUUAAAUUCGUUAAG
rnacentral:rRNA from 1 species